rnacentral:rRNA from 1 species
AAUGCCUAGGAAUCUGCCUGGUAGUGGGGGAUAACGUUCGGAAACGGACGCUAAUACCGCAUACGUCCUACGGGAGAAAGCAGGGGACCUUCGGGCCUUGCGCUAUCAGAUGAGCCUAGGUCGGAUUAGCUAGUUGGUGAGGUAAUGGCUCACCAAGGCGACGAUCCGUAACUGGUCUGAGAGGAUGAUCAGUCACACUGGAACUGAGACACGGUCCAGACUCCUACGGGAGGCAGCAGUGGGGAAUAUUGGACAAUGAGCGAAAGCCUGAUCCAGCCAUGCCGCGUGUGUGAAGAAGGUCUUCGGAUUGUAAAGCACUUUAAGUUGGGAGGAAGGGUUGUAGAUUAAUACUCUGCAAUUCUGACGUUACCGACAGAAUAAGCACCGGCUAACUCUGUGCCAGCAGCCGCGGUAAUACAGAGGGUGCAAGCGUUAAUCGGAAUUACUGGGCGUAAAGCGCGCGUAGGUGGUUUGUUAAGUUGGAUGUGAAAUCCCCGGGCUCAACCUGGGAACUGCAUUCAAAACUGACUGACUAGAGUAUGGUAGAGGGUGGUGGAAUUUCCUGUGUAGCGGUGAAAUGCGUAGAUAUAGGAAGG